rnacentral:rRNA from 1 species
UUUCCGUAGGUGAACCUGCGGAAGGAUCAUUACAGAGUUCAUGCCCGAAAGGGUAGACCUCCCACCCUUGUAUAUUAUUACUUUGUUGCUUUGGCGAGCUGCCUUCGGGCCUUGUAUGCUCGCCAGAGAAAACCAAAACUCUUUUUAUUAAUGUCGUCUGAGUACUAUAUAAUAGUUAAAACUUUCAACAACGGAUCUCUUGGUUCUGGCAUCGAUGAAGAACGCAGCGAAAUGCGAUAAGUAAUGUGAAUUGCAGAAUUCAGUGAAUCAUCGAAUCUUUGAACGCACAUUGCGCCCCUUGGUAUUCCGGGGGGCAUGCCUGUUCGAGCGUCAUUUCAACCCUCAAGCUUAGCUUGGUAUUGAGUCUAUGUCAGUAAUGGCAGGCUCUAAAAUCAGUGGCGGCGCCGCUGGGUCCUGAACGUAGUAAUAUCUCUCGUUACAGGUUCUCGGUGUGCUUCUGCCAAAACCCAAAUUUUUCUAUGGUUGACCUCGGAUCAGGUAGGGAU